UACGUAGGGAGCGAGCGUUGUCCGGAUUUACCGGGUGUAAAGGGUGCGUAGGCGGGACUGCAAGUCAGGCGUGAAAUACCGGGGCUUAACUCCGGGGCUGCGCUUGAAACUGCGGUUCUUGAGUGAAGUAGAGGCAGGCGGAAUUCCUAGUGUAGCGGUGAAAUGCGUAGAUAUUAGGAGGAACACCAGUGGCGAAGGCGGCCUGCUGGGCUUUAACUGACGCUGAGGCGCGAAAGCAUGGGGAGCAAACAGG
rnacentral:rRNA from 1 species